rnacentral:tRNA from 1 species
GCAGAGGCGGCGAAGAUGGCGAGUCGCGCCUGUCUGUAAAACAGGUGUCUUUGGCUGAGCAGGUUCGAAUCCUGCCCUCUGCA